UCCCGCACUUUUUGCCGGAGAAAGUGCGCCCACGCCGCGACGUACAACGCGAAACCUCGCACCGUCCCCUCGCGCGCCAGCCUCUCCAUGAUCACCUCGCGGCCCUGCACCCUGAACUUUUCGCUGCCGUCCAUGGCGACGCGGUCCAAGGUGUCCUUGACGGCGACGUUCUCGAACCGCGAGAGCACCAGGUCGACGUACUCGUCCAGCACGGCGAGGAGUUCGCCGGGCAUGGUGGGAUCCGCGACGAGCGAAGCCGCGAUCUCCUCCGUCAUCAGCCGCCUGAGGAAGGGCUUGAUCAUCUUGUGCGUGACAGCCUCGUGGACGUGCGUCAGUCCCGCG
rnacentral:lncRNA from 1 species